rnacentral:rRNA from 1 species
CCUACGGGUGGCAGCAGUGAGGAAUAUUGGUCAAUGGACGCGAGUCUGAACCAGCCAAGUAGCGUGAAGGAUGACUGCCCUAUGGGUUGUAAACUUCUUUUAUAUGGGAAUAAAGUGUUCCCCGUGUGCCUUUUUGUAUGUACUUUAUGAAUAAGGAUCGGCUAACUCCGUGCCAGCAGCCGCGGUAAUACGGAGGAUCCGAGCGUUAUCCGGAUUUAUUGGGUUUAAAGGGAGCGUAGAUGGGUUGUUAAGUCAGUUGUGAAAGUGUGCGGCUCAACCGUAAAAUUGCAAUUGAUACUGGCAGUCUUGAGUACAGUUGAGGUAGGCGGAAUUCGUGGUGUAGCGGUGAAAUGCUUAGAUAUCACGAAGAACUCCGAUUGCGAAGGCAGCUUACUAAACUGCCACUGACAUUGAGGCUCGAAAGUGUGGGUAUCAAACAGGAUUAGAUACCCGAGUAGUC